rnacentral:misc_RNA from 1 species
GUAGGUGAACCUGCGGAAGGAUCAUUACAAAAAAGUAGAGUUGCUCUUUUGCUUCUCUAGCUCGAAGAGGAAAAUUUUGGAGGGUCGCAAGACCAUCCGAAAAAUCCGACUUGAGAAAUCUUUUGUGCACCGUAAAAAAAAAAUUUGCGUUUUAUAUUUGUCUGAUGUACUUUUUACAGUUUUCGUGAAAUUUCUUUUUGGAAAUUUUGCAAGAAAGAAAACAAUAAAAAUAACUUUUAACAACGGAUCU